rnacentral:rRNA from 1 species
GAUGAACGCUGGCGGCGUGCCUAAUACAUGCAAGUCGAGCGAACAGACGAGGAGCUUGCUCCUCUGACGUUAGCGGCGGACGGGUGAGUGACACGUGGAUAACCUACCUAUAAGACUGGGAUAACUUCGGGAAACCGGAGCUAAUACCGGAUAAUAUAUUGAACCGCAUGGUUCAAUAGUGAAAGACGGUUUUGCUGUCACUUAUAGAUGGAUCCGCGCCGCAUUAGCUAGUUGGUAAGGUAACGGCUUACCAAGGCAACGAUGCGUAGCCGACCUGAGAGGGUGAUCGGCCACACUGGAACUGAGACACGGUCCAGACUCCUACGGGAGGCAGCAGUAGGGAAUCUUCCGCAAUGGGCGAAAGCUUGACGGAGCAACGCCGCGUGAGUGGUGAAGGUCUUCGGAUCGUAAAACUCUGUUAUUAGGGAAGAACAAAUGUGUAAGUAACUAUGCACGUCUUGACGGUACCUAAUCAGAAAGCCACGGCUAACUACGUG